rnacentral:rRNA from 1 species
CAGUAGCCACGGGAAUACGGAGGGAGCUAGCGUUGUUCGGAAUUACUGGGCGUAAAGCGCGCGUAGGCGGUUACUCAAGUCAGAGGUGAAAGCCCGGGGCUCAACCCCGGAACUGCCUUUGAAACUAGGUGACUAGAAUCUUGGAGAGGUCAGUGGAGUUCCGAGUGUAGAGGUGAAAUUCGUAGAUAUUCGGAAGAACACCAGUGGCGAAGGCGACUGACUGGACAAGUAUUGACGCUGAGGUGCGAAAGCGUGGGGAGCAAACAGGAUUAGAUACCCCGGUAGUCCCUGUCUCUUAUAA